rnacentral:misc_RNA from 1 species
CUUCCUUAUUUUCCUUCCUUUAUUUUCUUCCUUCUCUGACACAUUCCCAAACGUAGGCUUAGUCUAAUGAAUCGUGUGCGAUUGCGCAAGCCUCUUUAUUUAGUGAGGAAGAUUCCCAAUUCCUUCUCUAGGCCCUAUCUCCGCAGCCUCAUUCCUUACCUGUGUCACCAACUACCGACGCAUCCAACAACAAACCUUAACUUAUAUAUACGCGUUGAUUCAUCAUACCCUUCUUACAGAUUUUUCCUUUACAGCGAAGAUGGAUUUUGAGCUGAGAAGGGCUGCAGAGAAGCUCCAGAAAGAGCAAAGAGAGAGGAAGGAGAAAGCCAGAUUGAAGCUCGAAAGAGAGAGAAUAGCAAAAGCAGAAGCCAAAAUGCAAAGAGAGGCCAUUGAAGCCGCUCAGAGAUCUCGAAGGCUUGAUGCUAUUGAAGCCCAGCUCAAGGCUGAUGAGCAAAUGCAAGAAAAUUUAUUUGUUGGGAGAGGAAUAAUGUUUUCUCGUAUACUGGAAGCUGUAUCUUUUAACGGUAGUGGAGACAAGAUUAAAUUGCCUCCUUCCUGUUUCACAGAUUUGUCUGAUCAAGGUGCUUUCGACAAAGGACCAAUAUAUUUGCAAUUAUCAGUGAUUCAUCAAGAAAGUCCAUCUGAGACAAAGG